CCGCGAGAUCAUGACCUGAGCUGAAGUCGGACACUUAACCUACCGAGCCACCCAGGCACCCCUAGACCGAUGUUCUAAUCAAGACUUCCAAGGUUGUGAUAGAUGGUGUCAUCAAAUCAUCUGCCACUUCUCUCCACCACGCUCCAGAGAGGACGGGGAGGACCGUGUAGGUGAAGGCUUUCCACAAGCCAUGGAGCACAAUGCAUGGAAUCAUCUGGAGACUCGCCCCAGAGAAGGUCCUGGCUCUCCUGUCUCAGCCUCCCUCUGGCAUCCCCAGGACUCAGUCCACCCUGAUAACUGGGAGAAGUACGCAGGCCUCAGGAGCUGAGGAAGGCCAAACCCGAUCCCUGGCUUUCUGAAGGUUAACCAGUCGGAGCUCCUCCUGUGCGUUGGCCUGGAAGAUUCCAUGGCCUGGGCCAGGUGUGGCAGGGCUUGUGGACGCUGGGAUGGCCCUUGAUGCUAUGGGUCAAGGACGAUGAGUCAGGCCAGUACAGCAUCUCUGCCAAGCUGGAAUAUAGGAGGCCUGGGCACAUGAAGUCAGGUAAGUGGGUGUCUUGGUGAUGGAUGGGAGUUUCCCGGCAAGUGUGACCUUUCCUUCCGCUGAGUCCAGCUGGACCAACCCUGUGGCUCCAGGGCCCCUUGUCACCCACUGAUUGCUUUGUGAUUAAUGCACAAGUCCCUUAUUCCCACCUCGUGUCCCUGCUCUAUGCUCCCCCAGCUCCCGUGGCGGACCCUGCUGCACUUAGGCAAUUUACUCAGAAAUGAUCGUCCCUAGAAUCUCUCCGCAUGCUUGGUGGGCAGGUAGUGACCAAUGUCUGUGUGUGACUCCCCUGCAGAAUUCAAAACCAAGGACAGACAUGCCAAUCACAGCAUUAGGGGAGAGACUUAAAAUACCUGCAGUGAGUCGAGCAGGGCCCAGAAGAGGCCAGGAUCUGUCCUGCAGGCAUCGCCCCUUCUUCUCUGCACAUUUUUGAGCUCAGCAAGAAAGCCAUGAGUUUCCACCUGGCAGUCAUUCACUGGGGCUGCCUGUGGGUCCCAGUGCCGUUUCACAAAGGACAGGAAGCCUAACCCCGGUUUGUCUGGGAACCAGAGAACUGCAGAGGGAGGAGAGGGGCCCAACCCUCCGGUCCUAGCACCAAACCAAGUGAACCCCCCACCAAAUAUACAGAGGGCGAAUGGUCCCGAAUGGACAAUCCGCUUCUCAAACAGUGUUUUCACCUUGGCCUGGGGGCCCAAGCACGUAAAGUGGGUUUCAUGCUGAUUUGGCUGCAUGGACUUUCUAACUUAACCAGAGUAGGAGAGACCGAAUCACGUGCUGUUAACAGUCAUUCAUUCAGCAAAUAUUUACUGACUCCCAGACAGGAGAGAGGGCUGGUUUGUGUCAGUUCCCUGUGAAGAGCAGCAUGUUCCUCAUGCCUUAAGCGCUGUAGCAGA